UGCUCAGCUGCUGGGUACAGGCCACUUGUCGACUCUGCAUCCCUUUUCCACAGGUUCGUGAACAUGGAGUCCAUUCUGUCAUCAUCCACCUGGAAAUACAGCAAGAACCGGUGAAACAAGAAAGGAAAACCAAGGAACGGCAGGUCGAGCAACUCAGCAAAGGUCAUGAGGUUGUAGAGUCAGAAACGGAAAUGAGGCUGAACACCACAUCCCAGUGCGGUCUUAGCAAGAGAGUUCCAUCAGGCCCUUUGGUGACUUCUUCGAUAAAUGUGAAUGGAUAUUAGAAUCCUUCCUACUCAGGUGGGGAAAAAGAAGAGGCAAGAGACAUAAAGGACGUCCAAUGCCAACGCAAGUUCAGAAGUGACAAACAGGCUCUAGUCCUGAUGACUAGUCAAGAUGACUGAUGCAGCCCAAGAGGCCACGGCUUUCAUCCAAAUGGAAAAGUUACGUUCAAUAUAAAACAAAAUGGUGAUCUGAAAUACUUUAAUGAAUUCUUUAACACAAGGUAAAUGAGCAUUUUAAUAUCUAUUAAAAGAAAUAAAAAGAAAGAUAAUUCUUAGGAGUAGUAAUAACAAAAAGAGUCCAGGUUCUUUAGCUGAUAGGGCAAAGACCAAAAACUCUUUUUCUACAUCCAUCCAGCACUGAAUGGAAAGGACCCAAGGACAUGACUACAGAUGGCAACAAUUCCGGGGUCACCCUUCCUGUUGAUCACUAUCGAGAAGCUUGAUUAGUGUAUCUAUUAAUGGAGUUAGCCCAAAAAGCAUACAGCUAGGCAGAUGCAAUGGGUAAAACAU